UGGUCAAGUUAUUAAGGGUGCAGGGCGGAUGCCUUGGCACUAGGAGCCGAUGAAGGACGUGAUAAGCUGCGAUAAGCUUCGGGGAGUUGCACGUAAACUUUGAUCCGAAGAUUUCCGAAUGAGGAAACUCACUUAGAGUAAUGUCUAAGUAUCAUUAAGUGAAUACAUAGCUUAAUGAGGGGAACUCAGGGAACUGAAACAUCUAAGUACCUGAAGGAAGAGAAAGAAAUUCGAUUCCGUAAGUAGCGGCGAGCGAACGCGGAUUAGCCCAAACCAAUAAAGUUUUCUUUAUUGGGGUUGCGGACAUAUCAUAACGAAGAGGUAUCGUAAUUGAAGAGGUUUGGAAAGACCCACCACAGAAGGUAAUAGUCCUGUAUGUUAAACGAGAAGACUUUAGAUAUGAUCCAGAGUACCACGGGACACGUGAAACCCUGUGGGAAGCAGGAGGGACCACCCUCCAAGGCUAAAUACUACCUAGUGACCGAUAGCGUAUAGUACCGUGAGGGAAAGGUGAAAAGAACCCCGGGAGGGGAGUGAAAUAGAACCUGAAACCCUGCACUUACAAGCUGUGGAAGCACAUUUCUUGUGUGACCGCGUACUUUUUGUAGAACGGGCCAACGAGUUACGUUAAGUAGCAAGGUUAAGCACUUAAGGUGCGGAGCCGUAGCGAAAGCGAGUUUUAACUGAGCGUUCAGUUACUUGACGUAGACCCGAAACCGGGCGACCUACCCAUGAGCAGGAUGAAGCGAAAGUAAAAUUUCGUGGAGGUCCGAACCCACGAGCGUUGAAAAGCUCGGGGAUGACUUGUGGGUAGCGGUGAAAUUCCAAUCGAGCCCGGAGAUAGCUGGUUCUCCCCGAAAUAGCUUUAGGGCUAGCCUCAAGGUGAGAGAUACGGAGGUAGAGCACUGAAUGUCCUAGGGGGUAUUGCACCUACCGAAGACUAUCAAACUCCGAAUGCCGUCAUCUUAUACUUGGGAGUCAGACUGUGGGUGAUAAGAUUCAUAGUCGAAAGGGCAACAGCCCAGAUCGUCAGCUAAGGUCCCUAAAUGUAAGUUAAGUGGUAAAGGAUGUGGGAUUGCACAGACAACCAGGAUGUUGGCUUAGAAGCAGCCACUCAUUCAAAGAGUGCGUAAUAGCUCACUGGUCGAGUGAUCCUGCGCCGAAGAUUUCCGGGGCUAAAACUUACUACCGAAGCUACGGCAUCAGUAAUGAUGGGUAGGGGAGCUUCCCAUACGGGUUGAAGCAUGACCGUAAGGACAUGUGGACAGUAUGGGAGUGAGAAUGUUGGCAUGAGUAGCGAGAUGUGGGUGAGAAUCCCACAGGCCGUAAACCCAAGGUUUCCAGGGGAAGGUUCGUCCGCCCUGGGUUAGUCGGGACCUAAGCUGAGGCCGAAAGGCAUAGGUGAUGGACAACAGGUUGAUAUUCCUGUACUACCGAUAACCGUUUGAGAGAUGGGAUGACACAGUAGGAUAAGCUAAGCACACUGUUGGUUAUGUGUGCCCAAGCAUUGAGGCAGUCAAAGUAGGUAAAUCCGCUUUGAUAAUGCUGGGAUGUGAUGGGGAGCGAAAUUUAGUAGCGAAGUAGCUGAUUUCACACUGUCAAGAAAAGUCUCUAUCGAGGUUAAAGGUACCCGUACCGCAAACCGACACAGGUGGGUGAGGAGAGUAUCCUAAGGCCAGCGAGAGAACUGUUGUUAAGGAACUCGGCAAAAUGACCCCGUAACUUAGGGAUAAGGGGUGCCACCAUCAGGUGGCCGCAGAGAAUAGGCCCAAGCGACUGUUUACCAAAAACAUAGGUUUCUGCUAAGUCGCAAGACGAUGUAUAGGAGCUGACGCCUGCCCGGUGCUGGAAGGUUAAGGGGAUCUGUUAGAGCAAUCGAAGCAGUGAACUUAAGCCCCAGUAAACGGCGGCCGUAACUAUAACGGUCCUAAGGUAGCGAAAUUCCUUGUCGGGUAAGUUCCGACCCGCACGAAAGGCGUAACGAUUUGGGCACUGUCUCAACAACAGACUCGGUGAAAUUGUAAUUCCGGUGAAGAUGCCGGAUACCUGCGACAGGACGGAAAGACCCCAUGGAGCUUUACUGUAGCUUGACAUUGGGUCUUGGUACUACAUGUACAGGAUAGGUGGGAGGCUUUGAAACCAGGACGCCAGUUUUGGCGGAGCCAUCCUUGGGAUACCACCCUUGUAGUACUGGGACUCUAACCAUAGGCCAUGAAUCUGGUCUUGGGACACUGUCAGGUGGGCAGUUUGACUGGGGCGGUCGCCUCCCAAAAGGUAACGGAGGCGCUCAAAGGUUCUCUCAGUACGGUCGGAAAUCGUACGUAGAGUGUAAAGGCAAAAGAGAGCUUGAUUGCAAGACAUACAGGUCGAGCAAGGAUGAAAAUCGGACUUAGUGAUCCGGUGGUUCUGCGUGGAAGGGCCAUCGCUCAACGGAUAAAAGCUACCCUGGGGAUAACAGGCUUAUCUCCCCAAGAGUCCACAUCGACGGGGAGGUUUGGCACCUCGAUGUCGGCUCAUCACAUCCUGGGGCUGUAGUAGGUCCCAAGGGUUGGGCUGUUCGCCCAUUAAAGUGGUACGCGAGCUGGGUUCAGAACGUCGUGAGACAGUUCGGUCCCUAUCCGUCGCAGGCGUAGGAAAUUUGAGAAGACCUGUCCUUAGUACGAGAGGACCGGGAUGGACGUACCUCUGGUGUACCAGUUGUCCUGCCAAGGGCAUGGCUGGGUAGCUAUGUGCGGAAUGGAUAAGCGCUGAAAGCAUCUAAGCGCGAAGCCAACUUCAAGAUAAGAUUUCCCACCGCAAGGGUAAGACCCCAGAAAGACUAUCUGGUUGAUAGGUCGAAGGUGUAAGUGCAGCAAUGUAUUUAGCUUAUCGAUACUAAUAGGUCGAGGACUUGACCAAUAUUUAUU
rnacentral:rRNA from 1 species